GUACGGGAGGCAGCAGUAGGGAAUCUUGCGCAAUGGGCGAAAGCCUGACGCAGCCAUGCCGCGUGAAUGAUGAAGGUCUUAGGAUUGUAAAAUUCUUUCACCGGGGAAGAUAAUGACGGUACCCGGAGAAGAAGCCCCGGCUAACUUCGUGCCAGCAGCCGCGGUAAUACGAAGGGGGCUAGCGUUGCUCGGAAUUACUGGGCGUAAAGGGCGCGUAGGCGGACAUUUAAGUUAGAGGUGAAAGCCCAGGGCUCAACCCUGGAAUAGCCUUUAAUACUGGAUGUCUUGAGUUCGGGAGAGGUGAGUGGAACUCCGAGUGUAGAGGUGAAAUUCGUAGAUAUUCGGAAGAACACCAGUGGCGAAGGCGACUCACUGGCCCGAUACUGACGCUGAUGCGCGAAAGCGUGGGGAGCAAACAGGAUUAGAUACCCCUGUAGUCCC
rnacentral:rRNA from 1 species